UCGAGAAUUUUUCACAAUGGGCGCAAGCCUGAUGGAGCGACGCCGCGUGGGGGAUGAAUGGCUUCGGCCCGUAAACCCCUGUCAUUUGCGAUCAAACCUUGCUAUUUAAAAGGUGGCGAGCUGAUAGUAGCGAAAGAGGAAGGGACGGCUAACUCUGUGCCAGCAGCCGCGGUAAUACAGAGGUCCCAAGCGUUGUUCGGAUUCACUGGGCGUAAAGGGUGCGUAGGUGGUGGGGUAAGUCGGAUGUGAAAUCUCGGAGCUCAACUCCGAAAUGGCAGUGGAAACUACCCUGCUAGAGGGUCGGAGGGGGGACUGGAAUUCUCGGUGUAGCAGUGAAAUGCGUAGAUAUCGAGAGGAACACCAGUGGCGAAGGCGAGUCCCUGGACGACUCCUGACACUGAGGCACGAAAGCUAGGGGAGCAAACA
rnacentral:rRNA from 1 species